CGGAGGAUCCAAGCGUUAUCCGGAAUCAUUGGGUUUAAAGGGUCCGUAGGCGGUUUAAUAAGUCAGUGGUGAAAGCCUAUCGCUUAACGAUAGAACGGCCAUUGAUACUGUUAGACUUGAAUUAGUGGGAAGUAACUAGAAUAUGUAGUGUAGCGGUGAAAUGCUUAGAUAUUACAUGGAAUACCAAUUGCGAAGGCAGGUUACUAUCACUAUAUUGACGCUGAUGGACGAAAGCGUGGGGAGCGAACAGGAUUAGAUACCCUGGUAGGUCCACGCCGUAAACGAUGGAUACUAGCUGUUCGGAGCAAUCUGAGUGGCUAAGCGAAAGUGAUAAGUAUCCCACCUGGGGAGUACGUUCGCAAGAAUG
rnacentral:rRNA from 1 species